CCCUUAGAUGUUCUGGGCCGCACGCGCGCUACACUGAUGCAUUCAACGAGUCUAAAACCUGCUCUGAUAGGGGUGGGUAAUCUUUUGAAUGUGCAUCGUGAUUGGGAUAGAUGAUUGAAAUUUUUCAUCUUCAACGAGGAAUGCCUAGUAAACGCAAGUCAUCAGCUUGCAUUGAUUACGUCCCUGCCCUUUGUACACACCGCCCGUCGCUCCUACCGAUUGAAUGAUCCGAUGAAUAUCAUGGAUUGAGGAUGCAAGUAGAUUCACCUAUCUUCAUCUUCGAGAAGUGAAGUAAAUCUUAUCAUUUAGAGGAAGGAGAAGUCGUAACA
rnacentral:rRNA from 1 species